AUCCCGCUAUGUUCCCUGUAUCUGGGCUUGGCCGUGUCUAGAGGCAAGAGGCCUUGGUGAGCUUACUUGGUUGCUCUGGUUUGAAGAACAGAGGGAUGUUAGCCUUCCAUGGGGAGGCUUCACAGGCUGAGUUCCUCAGAGGCCAGUGGUAAGACCAGAGCAAGGUCCAGGAACUGCGACACCUCAUUCGGAGCAGAAGAGAGGAGAAUAGAUCCCGACAUGCAUCUGCUUAGUGCAGAACUGCCAACGUCCAUGUCUCUCAGUGAAGGUGGUGGUUUCAUCACCAGCAGCAGCAGCUAGUCUUUGCUCCUCCAAAUGGCUCAUGCCAGCCCUGCCUCUGUCCACACAUACCAUCUGUGCUAUCAACACAGACCUUCAGAAGUAGAGAGGAUGGAAAUAGAACACGUACUUUGAUAAACAGAAGCAAUUAGACUUCCUUGGACGAUGCCACAUUCCUUUAAUGCACAUUCGGCUUAAUGCACAAUGGGAAAAUCAGAGCCUAUUGAGCAAUGGUGUUGCCUCUGGUUUAUUGCAGUUCAUUAAUAAACAUUGCAGCUGGAGGCAAUGACUGUAUGACCCUUAAGUUCCUCCCAAUGCUGAGUUUCUAUGGCUUGUAGAAUAUUACAGCUUUAGAGUUUAAAAAUGUGUUCUGUACAACCAUGGGUA
rnacentral:lncRNA from 1 species